AACACAUGCUUUGAACUCCUGGUUUAAGACUACACUAUGUGCUGCAGCUAGGUUAUAUAUUUCCCCCCAGGUAGGGUUAGCAGUAAGAGUUGGUUGCAUUUGUUUCCCUGUGUUAGAAAGCAAACUGAGAGCUCUGGAAGAACCAUGUUUUGAGCUAAUUCGGUUUUCAUCCUAAGUGAAAUUGUCAUUAAGAAAAGAGAUUACCAUCUGGUGCAGAUGAUGUCCUCUCUUAUUAACAAUUUCUGUCUAUGGUGCUUUUUGAAGGCUGCUAAGUCCACCAUCGAGAAGAGGCCAUCAUUAGGUGAAAUUCUGAAGACUGCAUUUCUUAUUGUCACAUUAUGAUGAUUUCCUUGGGACUGCUUACAGAAAGAAAUGGACUGAUGCUGGCAGCUGUAUUUGUGAGAUUAUCAACAUUUUAUUUGGUUUGGAAAAAUAGAAUUUAUUUCAGCUUCCAAAAACUGUAAAUUCCCUGAACCGCAGAGCUUUUUUUUCUGUCAUAGUACUGUGUAUAUAACUAGAUAAUUUAUGUAGAAAGAACAGGUUCAUGUAAUUACAAAUAAGACUUGCUGAAUAUAGUGUUUCAUUUAUUUGAAUAAAAAAAUGCAUUGCUUCUGAUAUGUGUAUUUA
rnacentral:lncRNA from 1 species